AACACCCUAACAUAUCACAACCCAUCAACCUUCUCCUCCCCUAAACCCUCUUUUUUGUCGCCCCCUCUCUCUUUUUCCCUUCUCCACACUUUUCUUUUCCAAAAUCGAUAGCCACCCUUAAGUCGCCGCAAGCCACACACUUUAUCCACCCAAACCGCCACACACCUUAGCUACCCAAACUGCCGCAAGCUUAUCCACCAAACACCAUAUUCCAACUGCCACCUAACUGCCACCCUAACCCACCCAAAUGUCGAUCCUUUAGCCAUUUAGUCGUCGCGCCUAGCGAAAGAUUUUUACCGAUUUUCCAAAAUUUUUAUUUUACACUCCAAAUAUGUCUAGUACUAGAAAGGGAAGUACGUCUCAAACCACUGGAUUCCAAUAUCGAUUACGUAGCAAGAAGCAACGGAGAGGUUCGAAUCAAUUUUCAAAAAGCAACUGAUUCUACCGGACAAAGGGUUCGACUUGGAAAAUGUUGAUCCGUGAAAAGUGCUGCCAAACAUUCGAAAAAACUGUCAAUGCAUUAAAGUGGAAUAUGUUCUGUACAAAAAGACCACUUUAUGAGGUUGAAUUAGUACGAGAAUUUUACUCGAACUUGACUUCGUCCACCAAAGCAGAAGUUCUUGUUUAAGGUAAAAAGGUAUUUUUUGCAACUCAAGCUAUAAAUGGUUUUUUUCACUUACCCAAUAUAAAAGACGAAUAUUAUUCUGCUAUGUUGAAAAACAUUGAGACAAAAUUACUUCAAGAAGUGCUGAAAGAAGUCACAGUUCCCAGAUCUAAAUGGGUAAUUAAGAAAUACGACAGUCACACUUGCUGAAGAGAGUUUCUGAACCCAACAGCAAAGAAAGGUCUAUCAAUGUGGGAAAGAUUAUCCACAAAGAAAUUUGAGAUUAUGCAACUAAGCAGGCUGGUUACUCUUAUUUUCCAUCAUUGAUUACACACUGCUAUGCUUGCAAUCUCACAUACUUCCGAAGGUAGAUUUCAAAGCAAGAAUCCACCCAGGCCAUAUCAUAGACAAUGACGUUGCUAGAAUAGUAGGUGUCGUUGCUAGGCAAAAGCAACCCGCUGAUGAAGAAUCCGAUACAGGACCACCCGAUCAUCUAGUUGAGCCGGAGCCUGAUUUCAUGACACCCACCGGACCUGUUAUUCUAGAAUGGGUCGAGCCUAGAACUACCUUUCCAUCAUCCAAAACUGCUGCACAAUCGGGCCAAGCUGAAAUCAUGAGCAUGCUAUAGCACAUGCAUCAAUAGUAGCAAGCUUAUUGGAGAUAUGCAAAAAUCCGAGACGAUUUGGUAAGGGGUGCAUUUAGAGAACUCACACAUAACCCAUUUGAUUCUAUGCCUGAAUUUCCAGAUUUUUUCUUUGAUCCAUGGAUGCCAAUUUCAGAAGCCAAGCGAGACAAAUUCAUCACUCCGAGGAGAAUAUCUAAAUGCACAAAGGGUUGUGGGAAAGUGGAAACAAUUUCAAAUAGCGAGGAUUUUAUCAAAUAAAUAAGGGGUUGUUCUUUUUCUUUUUCUUUUUUUCUAUUUUGGACAUGUUAGAUUUAAUUAUUUCUUUUUAUUUUCGUUUUCUGCAUAAUAAAAAUUAAAGUUGCAAUUAUGAAUAAAUUGGAUAAAUUUGCGAAUAAAAA